rnacentral:rRNA from 1 species
ACGAACGCUGGCGGCGUGCUUAACACAUGCAAGUCGAACGGAAAGGCCCUGCUUUUGUGGGGUGCUCGAGUGGCGAACGGGUGAGUAACACGUGAGUAACCUGCCCUUGACUUUGGGAUAACUUCAGGAAACUGGGGCUAAUACCGGAUAGGAGCUCCUGCUGCAUGGUGGGGGUUGGAAAGUUUCGGCGGUUGGGGAUGGACUCGCAGCUUAUCAGCUUGUUCGUGGGGUAGUGGCUUACCAAGGCUUUGACGGGUAGCCGGCCUGAGAGGGUGACCGGCCACAUUGGGACUGAGAUACGGCCCAGACUCCUACGGGAGGCAGCAGUGGGGAAUAUUGCACAAUGGGCGGAAGCCUGAUGCAGCAACGCCGCGUGCGGGAUGACGGCCUUCGGGUUGUAAACCGCUUUCGCCUGUGACGAAGCGUGAGUGACGGUAAUGGGUAAAGAAGCACCGGCUAACUACGUG